GUUAUUAAGGGCGCAUGGUGGAUGCCUUGGCAUGCUGAGCCGAUGAAGGACGUGAAAGGCUGCGUUAAGCCUCGGGGAGUUGUCAAUUGAGCGUUGAUCCGAGGAUGUCCGAAUGGGGAAACCUGGCCCUGGUUAUGUGGGGUUACCCUUCAGUGAAUUCAUAGCUGUUGUGGGGGUUUACGCGGGGAAGUGAAACAUCUCAGUACCCGUAGGAGGAGAAAAUAAUAAUGAUUCUGCUAGUAGUGGCGAACGAACGUGGAUGAGGCUAAACCGUGUGCAUGUGAUACCUGGUAGGGGUUGUGUGUGCGGUGUUGUGGGCCCUAAUUGGCGGUGACUACCAUCAUCGUGCUCGUGUGUUGUUGUUAGGUGAAGUGGUUUGGAAUGGCCUGCCGGAGAAGGUGAGAGUCCUGUAGUUGAAGACAAUGGCAUGUGGGUUGUUGGGUUGCCCGAGUAGCAGCGGGCUCGUGGAAUCUGCUGUGAAUCUGCCGGGACCACCCGGUAAGCCUAAAUACUCAGUGUGACCGAUAGUGUAUGAGUACCGUGAGGGAAUGGUGAAAAGUACCCCGGGAGGGGAGUGAAAUAGUUCCUGAAACCAUGUGCUUACAAUCCGUCAGAGCACCGUGUGUGUGUGAUGGCGUGCCUUUUGAAGAAUGAGCCUGCGAGUCAGCGGCAUGUCGCGAGGUUAACCCGUGUGGGGUAGCCGUAGGGAAACCGAAUCCUAAUGGGGUGUAUAGUGGCAUGUCCUGGACCCGAAGCGGGGUGAUCUACCCAUGGCCAGUGUGAAGCAGCUGUAAGAGGUUGUGGAGGCGCGAACCCACGUAGGUUAAAAACUGCGGGGAUGAGCUGUGGGUAGGGGUGAAAGGCCAAUCAAACUCCGUGAUAGCUGGUUCUCCCCGAAAUGCAUUUAGGUGCAGCGUCACGUGUUUCUUGCCGGAGGUAGAGCACUGGAUAGCUAAUGGGCCUUACCAGGUUACU
rnacentral:rRNA from 1 species